AAAUUGUUGGUUCAGCGGCCAACUGUGAGGAUUGAAUCAAUGGUAGACAUUGUGGCAGAACUAUUUCCGGAGAACGCAUCAUUACUUGCCGAAAAUGGAGCAAUAAGAGUGCUAUCACGUGGUAUAUCUGGCAAUGUAGCGUUACCAUCCAGAUACUGCAUCACCUGCCUCAUGUUAGGCCUAGCUUCUGGCUUCGGGUGUGAACAAAACAGGCCAAGUUUCAGAACCAACUCCAUUUGCUCUUCUUCAUAAAUGCCCUCCAGUCUUGAAUCACUGGCAUCAAGAAUAGCUCCUUUCUUCCAGCAAUCACUGACCCAAUCAACCAAAUUUACCAUUUCCAUUGAUCCUUGUUGCUCGAUAGGCCUCCUUCCACUAGCCACCUCAAGCAUAAAAACCCCAAAUGCGUAUACAUCUGUGCUAGUACUUGCCUUCCCAGUUCUCAUCAGCUCUGGAGCCAUAUACCCAAAAGUUCCUACCAGCUUAGUAGUUUGUGGAAUGGUGUCGUGAUCAUAUAACCUGGCAAGGCCAAAAUCUCCUAGCUUUCCAUUCAAAUCAGCAUCUAAAAGAACAUUUGCUGGUUUUAUGUCUCUAUGCAGAACAACUUGUUCCCAGUCUUCAUGGAGGUAAAGGAGGCCAGAAGCUACUCCUCUGAUAAUUCGAAACCGCUGAUACCAACUAAGGCUGGGUUUUAUGUUGGUAUGCAAGAUUUUGUCGAGGCUCCCAUUAGGCAUAUAAUCAUAGACCAAUAAAAAUUCUCCCUUUCGCCUACAAUAGCCACGGAGUUUCACCAAGUUUCUAUGCCUUAGCCUUCCCAUGCUUACAAGCUCAGCUACAAAUUCCUUCAUCCCUUGUUUCGAAUCAUGAGAAACUUUUUUGACAGCGAUUUCCACAUUAGAAACAAGAACUCCCCUAUAAACCUUUCCGAAACCUCCUUUUCCAAUAACAUCUUUGUCUUUGAAUCCUUUAGUUGCUUUAUAAAGAUUCUUGUAUGUGAACCUUUGGGGACCGUAUUCUUUUUCCCAGUCCUCGUACACUUCUUCGUAUCUUUUGUUCCUCACAAUGUAGACAGCUGCACCUAUGGUUAUCAGCACAACUAAUAUGGCUAUAAGUGAAACAGAAAUUACCAGUUUUAGUUGUGGUUUGUCAUUUGCUUUUGCGCGUGAUCGAGGAAGAUGGGGAAGUCGAGGAAGAGAUGAAAUAUCAAGGUUUAGUGCUGGCCCACUUCUGUUGAAGCUCCAUCCGAGAACGUAAUGGCUACCUUUAAGGCUGCCAGUUGAUGCAGAGAAACCAACAUACAUAGUUUCUAAAAGAAUGUGAGAAAGAUUUAUCGCUUUUGACAAGAGAGGCUUGGUUGGUUUUGGGAUUGACAUUGGAGCUAAUGGUACAUUGAGCAAAUUUUCAGCUCCAUCAUAGCUUAUCCAUAUUUGAAUUGGAUCUCCACUUAUGAGCUCCAAUGUUUUGUUCAUCCCUUCUCUAUCAGAAAAGUAAGCUGCCGGAGCAGAUUCAAGAGAUAUCAGGCUGUUGACAUCGAUUCCCACAUGGUUAUCAUCUAUGUCAUCAAAAUCAAAAUUUUGAACAGUAUCAAGCUCUAUUGCCAAUAUAUGGUUUGUAGAUUGACCAUUGUUUGAAGCAUUGAAGAGUCCCAAGUAUUCACUUGGAGAAGCUUCUGCUUUUCUGAGGUCCUUAGACGGCGAGAUAACAAAAGCCAUGCCCUGCCCACUAAAGGAAAGCAGUUCUGGAACAAUGGCAAAUACAAAGUUGGAGCAAAAUGAUAGAGAUUCAGAGGAAGAUGUGUUGAAUUUUAUUGGGAAUCGGUAGAAAGCAUGGCCUUUUUGUUGCGAGUUGACAGUGUUAGUUAGCUGCAAUAGACCAUUGCUAUGCACUGACGCGAGUCCAUCUCUUUGCAGUUGAGGAUCUUCAUUGAAGCCGUGAUAGAUGAACUGGUUUACAUUUUGGGCCAAGGCCGAGAAAAUGAAGGAUACGCAUAAAAGCACACAAAAGUAAAACGAUCUUGGAGCUGCACCCAUUUGAGGAAAUGAAAUUUUGCUACACUGGAGAUACUCUUUGUUGCUGAAACUUGAAGACUGUAAUAUCAAUUUUCAGAGUUACUGUAGUCACAUUGAAUAUGAAAAAGAGUCAAAGAGUUUUUUAUUCAAACAAGAUGAGGGUACACUGAAUUUAUGUCCCAGUUUGAGUUGAAUGUUCGAGAUGACAGAGCGGAAGCAGAAAACUGUCAAUCAUUUUAGGCGCCAUAUCUUCACAUUAGUUUGAAUAAUUGAACGCAGGGUUGCAUCAUAACAUCUGAGUAAGUCCCAGAUUUGAAAAAUGCCAUCAAGACAGUAAUAUUAAAUUGCAAUAAGCAUUGAAAUAUUUGCUAGUACACUCACCUGGCAGGGUCACCCAACUUGCUUUCGCUGUUAUCCUCAAGUCAUUUUGAGCUUUUGUGGUUUGCAGCGUGGAUUUUUGUGCUAGUCAAAACAUACAAGUCAUCAUUCUUCAUUUUUUCCACCUGCUUUCAAAGAAAAUGCACUCCUCUAAGUUCUAACCUGUACCCAAACGACAACCCACUCGGUUUAUGAUCCGUUUGAAAUUGAGGUUCAGCAGUUAUAACUUAAAAAAUAUAACAUUAAAAUAUUUAGUAAAUACUAAUUACUGUAACUUAUAAAUUAUGUUAAUAUAUUUUUUCACUUAAAUGAUGAAAAUUUAUUACAUAUUAUAUCUUUAAUAAUUUUGUCAAAACCAUUAUUUAAAAUUUAUAUUUACUUCGUAUUAUUAAUUUUUGUUUCAUAAUUAUAUAUAUAUAUUUUUUCCAGCAACUAUAACUUAAAAGCUGCAUCAUCUCAAUCCCAAAUUGGUGCUUAGUCUUUUUAUAAUGUUAGGAUGAGUUGGAGUGCAUGGUAAGCUACAAUUGGUAACUAUUUUAAAUUUGAAAAAAAAUAUAAAGAAAACCACGCAGCCAACGUCAUUGAAUUGAGGGCAUAGUACAGUGUCAGGCUCAACCGUCAAGAUGAGAUUUGUAGAUGUUAGAAAAUUAAGAUUUCUCCCCAAAUCACUCUAACUAAUUUGUCAAGCAACAUAUCAAUAGAAAAAUUAAAUUAAGAAUAAUAUUAAUUCCAUAACACAAGAUUUACGUGAAAAACUCUAAAUCCGGAGAAAAACUACGGCCGUUGUCAAAAAGACAACUAAAGAAAAAUACUCACUAUAUAGAAAAUUAUUACAACUACACUAUCAGAAAUAAUUUUCUCUCACCCAAGUCCCAAAUACACCUAAAACUCUCAAUUUAAGAAUAAUUAUAUUCAACUCUCAAAUUCUCUCUAAAUACAAGAGGAAAUGUAUUAUUUGGGAUGAUAAAACUUAUGAAAUGCUCUCUUAUUUAUAACUAAAUGGAUAGUACUGAUCAAACCGUGUCACUAUUCAUGCCGUGUUACUAUUCAUACUGCGUGGUCAAAUCGUAUUACUGUUCACCACGUGGUCAAACCCUGUUCUUAACAGUAGAGCGGCCAUUGUUUGAGUCCUAAAUAAUCAGCUCUGAUAGCCAUCCGUGGGCGCCAGAACUGGUAAUAUUUGGAUUAAUGGCAAAUGCAAAAUUUGAGGAGAAUUAAAGAAAUAGAUUGGGAGGAAGAUGUGCUGAAUAAAUCCCAUCAUUUGCACUGAAGCGAUUUAAGAUGAACCACUCUGUUGAUGCGAGAUUCUGGUUGUCCUCGUUCUACGACCAGGGUCUCUGCUCGAUCAACUUCACCACGACCAGGAUCUCUCCUCGUAAAGCUUCUUCUCUAGAGGUUCCUGCGCACACAAACAGGUCAGAGUACCUCAAAAUUGCUAACCCUUUUACCUUCGUUGGCUACCUUUUUAUAGGCUUCCUCUGAAUCCCAGUUUUCCGCAGUCUACGCCCGUUAUCCUCCCACCUCUCGAACGUGGAUUCCCCAUUUCCGUAGUCGUGGGUGGUUGCGUGGCCUUCGUGCCUAGAUUCUCGGGCUGGAGAGCAUGCCUCGCCAACUGUCGUUGACCGGGUCUCCUCGAAUCAACCCUUAGCAAGAAUACAGCAGGAAUGGCUUUAUGCUUCUUACAGGAAAUUGGCCUCGCGGAUGACGUGCUCGUGGAUGAGCAGGAUAUUCCUGCCCCUGUUCCCAUGCUCCCUGGCUCUUACAGGACACACCUGCUCGCAGACUUCUGCCACCAAACAUCUGCCCAUCACGUCUGGUCUCGUCGGAGUAUUUUCCUCAAACACCGGUCCCCCAGUUUCUAGUGUUGAGAGUGAAACGAAUCAAGACUGGAAACUUUAAUGGUCUACUCGCCUUCGCUUGGUCGAGCAGAUCCUAGCACGCCUGGCUUCUGGUCUCGCCAUAAACAGGCUUUGGCUUGGCUUCUGUCUCGCCAUAAAACAGGCUUUGAGACUUGGUGAACCUUUGCAUGCCUUAGUGUCUUCUUCGGUGCUUGGGGAUUCUACUCGCCUUCACGUGGUCAAGCAGAUCCUGGCAUGCUUGGCUUCUGUCUCGCCAAUAAACAGGCUUUGAGACUUGGUGAGCCUUUGCAUGCCUUGGAUGAUUUCUUCAAAGCUUGGGAUUCUGCUAGCCUUCUCGUGGCCGAGCAGCUCUUGGCAUGCUUGGCUUCUGUCUCGCCAUAAACAGGCUUUGAGACUUGAUGAGUCUUUGCAUGCCUUAGAUGAUUUCUUCAAAGCUUGGGAUUCUAUUAGCCUUCUCGUGGCCGAGCAGAUCCUGGCAUGCUUGGCUUCUGUCUCGCCAUAAACAGGCUUUGAGACUUGACGAGCCUUUGCAUGCCUUAGAAAUUUUUUUGGUUCCCAGUGACUGAAUUUCCUCGACAUUCUAUCAAUUGCAGGUUUUGAUUUUACAUGAACUUGCUUUGACGUAAAACAUAAAAAUAAAAGAUAAAGAGCACGAGCAGAAAUUGCUUUAAAAUGUGAACAAGUCUUACUGGAAGUAUUUUCGGAGGUGUGCUGCGUUCCAUGGGCGUUUCACCUCGUAUCGAGGGAUGUUAUCUGCAUUGCUUUUCUAUAUGGCCCUUCUUGUUUUCCACUCGGGUAUCGAGGGAUGUUAUCUGCAUUGCUUUCCUUGCUGCCGAGGAGUAGCAGCUUCUUGCGAUCCUCUGGUCUCCUCGUACCACUCCAACUACCUCAUUUACCCGGUACUUCAGAGCCAGAUAGUGGUUGGACAGCACUGUUUCCUCUGCAUUCGCCACCCCGUUGUCCUCGUCAAAAAUCUGCCUUGCCGGGGACUGCUCUUCCUCUCUAUGGAAUUCUCCCCGUAGGGGUAUGUUACCUCUCUCACCACCAAGUCUCCCGGUGGUUUGACUUCUCCUCGUACUACCGGGAUCUGGUACCACUCCACCUCCUCUCACCCUUUCUUCCUGGGUUACCCUUCGUUCGCUCCGCCGCUCAUGCAGAAUGGUUGUCAAGGACUCCAUCUGUUUUUCCAUCCGUUCCAUCCGGUCGAACAUGGCUUUUUCCCGUGCUUCACAGGCUAUCUCCCUCAGUGUCACGGAAUCGUUAAGCCUCAUAUCAUCCCCUUGUGCACUACUUCCUCCUGCCUCCAUUGCUUUUCAGUUACUUCCCUUCUCUUCUUGCUAUCAACAGAAGUUUUUUGCUCAGCUCCCCACAGACGGCGCCAAAGUGUUGAUGCGAGAUUCUGGUUGUCCUCGUUCUACUACCAGGGUCUCUGCUCAAUCAACUUCACCACGACCAGGAUCUCUCCUCGUAAAGCUUCUUCUCCAGAGGUUCCUGCACACACAGACAAGUCAGAGUACGCCGGUUGUUUUCCCGGCGCAAACCCUCCGACGCUCAAGUCAGAUAUGAAGGUUCGGGGAACGCUUGCUUCAGAUCUGUUGCGUGGCCUUCGUGCCUAGAUUCUCGGGCUGGAGAGCAUGCCUCGCCAACUGUCGUUGACCGGGUCUCCUCGAAUCAACCCUUAGCAAGAAUACAGCAGGAAUGGCUUUAUGCUUCUUACAGGAAAUUGGCCUCGCGGAUGACGUGCUCGUGGAUGAGCAGGAUAUUCCUGCCCCUGUUCCCCUGCUCCCUGGCUCUUACAGGACACACCUGUUCGCAGACUUUUGCUACCAAACAUCUGCCCAUCACGUCUGGUCUCGUCGGAGUAUUUCCCUCAAACACACUCUACAUCUUGAGCCAAGACCAAGGAGAUCAAAGGUACACCACAAAGUAUAGAAUAAACAUAAUGUGAUAUAAGAGCUGCAGCCAUUGUAGAAAAUUCCCCCAAAAAAAAUUCAAGUAGCCUGCUUUAAUAAUCUUAAAAUCUCAUAAACAAAAUUUCCCAGUUUUUUAAAGAGACGUCAAUCAACUAGAGCAUUAGAUAAACUAAAGAAGCAAGAGCCUGAUAAGGGAAAAUAACUGUCUCCAUUUUGAACACAACUAGAAGAUAAUUUAAUAAGAGGGUGCAUUGAAUAUAUGUGUGUGUGUGUGUUUUUGCUUUCAAUACGAAUAUUCAGAUGAUGGAUUAUGAAUAGUUAAUUAUUGCAGUGAUAAAUCAACAAGAAGGUCAAUGAAGAAGCUAAUAAUUGAAGCAAUGAUAAUAUCUUUUAGAAUUGUUGGAGUCAAUGUUAACUAGUCAUUGUCCUUGAAUCACAGGUGGCAUGUGGCUUUCUCAUUCAAUAAGGAAUACUGAACGCCAGAGUCUUGGCAAAUCCAAAACCAUCGACAAGGAAUGUUGUUUCAAUUUAUUUAAUUAUUUGGGCUAAAAAAUGAAAUUCAAUUCUAGCUAGUUAACUAAUGGAUAAGCAUGCCCAGCAGAUUCUGUGCACCAGCCAAAACAUUUAUUGAAACCAAAACAAUGGAUGAGUGCAUCAAAACAUCAUAUAAUUACCAGUAAUCUCCACAUGCUCAACUACCAAACCUGUGCGUAAUGUGAAGUGCAAAACAAUUUAACGUGCAAGCCAUUCACUCAUUCUCAACAAAUUUUGGAAUUGCUAUUCUUGCAAAAGUUAGCAACUCUUUUGGUGACGGUGACGGUAUAGCUUUCUUCAUCUCACCAUCCAAGGAGUUUAAAGCUAUGGCAGCUGCAUACUUGGGAAUCUUCUGUAUGACAUGUAUAAAAACCAUGUGGGAAUAGGAAUUGAUAUGAAUCUGCUCCACUCCAGCAGCAUAUUUUUCUGAUACUGUAAUGCUUUGGAUAGAAUUACUGGAAAAGAGGAGCUAUCGUCGAUUUCGAUAGGCCUUUACUUGAAACAACAAAUUGAAACAAUUGGCAUGGACUGCUGAGCUGAUGGUACACUUUUGAUGCUUUGUCACCAGCACUACACUACUGCAAAGAACAUGAUAAAUCAACUGUUUCUGUUACUUGCUGUAAAUGUGUUUGAUUUUCUUUCAAGUGUCUGUGUCUUCAACUCGAUGUAUACAAGUACAAAAAAAAAACCAAAUUAUCAUACCCGACAAUAUUUUUUCUCCAAUACUUCAAGUGCAAGACAAGUGGCAUCAAUUUUAAAAAAUCUCGAUUUACAAGAAACAAAGAAACAUAACUACUUCCAAAGCACAAUUAUAUUGUUGAUUUAUCGGCCAAAUGCGAGCAUUGAAUCAAUUGUGGAACUAGGAAAUAGGCAUGACCGAUAGGUCAUUUUUUGUGAAAUAAACUAUACGACAAGUCAUACAUAAUCGUUAACCAUGACUGACAAAUUGCAUAAUUUAGAUAACCCAAUAAAAGCCUUCUUAAUUACGUUGUUCCAUAGCGUCUUGUAGAGAGUUACAGAAAAUGCCAACUGGGAUUGGGUCCUGGCUUUGAUAUCAAAGCAGAAUGAGUUUGAUUGCUUUUGUUUAUUAUGAAUUAUUAUCUUAGAAUACAGUACAACGCCUCAUAUAGUUACAGGAAUUUUCCCCAUCAUACUCUUGGCAAAUUUUGAAAAAUUGUUGGUUCAGCGGCCAACUGUGAGGAUUGAAUCAAUGGUAGACAUUGUGGCAGAACUAUUUCCGGAAAACGCAUCAUUACUCGCCGAAAAUGGAGCAAUAACAGUGCUAUCAGGUGGUAUAUCUGGCAAUGUAGCAUCACCAUCCAGAUACUGCAUCACUUGCCUCAUGUUAGGCCUAGCUUCUGGCUUCGGGUGUGAACAAAACAG
rnacentral:lncRNA from 1 species